ACACGUAGGGGGCGAGCGUUGUUCGGAAUCAUUGGGCGUAAAGGGCGUGCAGGCGGUCGUGCAAGUCCGGCGUGAAAGACCCCGGCCCAACCGGGGGGACGCGCUGGAAACUGCAGGGCUUGAGUACAGGAGGGGAUGCCGGAAUUCCAGGUGUAGGGGUGAAAUCUGUAGAUAUCUGGAAGAACACCAAUGGCGAAGGCAGGCAGCUGGCCAUGUACUGACGCUGAGAAGCGAAGGUGCGGGGAGCAACCAGGUUUAGAAACCCUGGUAGUCCGCACAGUAAACGAUGUGCAACAGGUGGCGGGGGGUCGACCCCCGGUACCGUAGCUAACGCAUUAAGUGCACCGCCUGGGGAGUAUGCUCGCAAGGGUGAAACUCAAAGGAAUUGACGGGG
rnacentral:rRNA from 1 species